CCUACGGGGUGCUGCAGUGAGGAAUAUUGGUCAAUGGGCGCGAGCCUGAACCAGCCAAGUAGCGUGAAGGAUGAAUGCCCUACGGGUUGUAAACUUCUUUUAUAAAGGAAUAAAGUGAGGCACGUGUGCCUUUUUGUCUGUACUUUAUGAAUAAGGAUCGGCUAACUACGUGCCAGCAGCCGCGGUAAUACGGAGGGACCGAGCGUUAUCCGGAUUUAUUGGGUUUAAAGGGAGCGUAGAUGGGUUGUUAAGUCAGUUGUGAAAGUUUGCGGCUCAACCGUAAAAUUGCAAUUGAUACUGGCAGCCUUGAGUACAGUUGAGGUAAGCGGAAUUCGUGGUGUAGCGGUGAAAUGCUUAGAUAUCACGAAGAACUCCGAUUGCGAAGGCAGCUUACUAAACUGCCACUGACAUUGAUGCUCGAAAGUGUGGGUAUCAAACAGGAUUAGAUACCCCUGUAGUC
rnacentral:rRNA from 1 species